UGGGGAAUAUUGCGCAAUGGGGGCAACCCUGACGCAGCCAUGCCGCGUGAAUGAAGAAGGCCUUCGGGUUGUAAAGUUCUUUCGGUAGCGAGGAAGGCAUUUAGUUUAAUAGACUAGAUGAUUGACGUUAACUACAGAAGAAGCACCGGCUAACUCCGUGCCAGCAGCCGCGGUAAUACGGAGGGUGCGAGCGUUAAUCGGAAUAACUGGGCGUAAAGGGCACGCAGGCGGUGACUUAAGUGAGGUGUGAAAGCCCCGGGCUUAACCUGGGAAUUGCAUUUCAUACUGGGUCGCUAGAGUACUUUAGGGAGGGGUAGAAUUCCACGUGUAGCGGUGAAAUGCGUAGAGAUGUGGAGGAAUACCGAAGGCGAAGGCAGCCCCAUGGGAAUGUACUGACGCUCAUGUGCGAAAGCGUGGGGAGCAAACAGGAUUAGAUACCCUGGUAGUCCACGCUGU
rnacentral:rRNA from 1 species